GUAGUCUGCGACUCGACUACAUGAAGCUGGAAUCGCUAGUAAUCGCGGAUCAGAAUGCCGCGGUGAAUACGUUCCCGGGUCUUGUACACACCGCCCGUCACACCAUGGGAGUCAGCAACGCCCGAAGUCAGUGACCCAACCAUUAUAGGAGGGAGCUGCCGAAGGCGGGGCAGGUGACUGGGGUGAAGUCGUAACAAGGUACC
rnacentral:rRNA from 1 species